UACAGAGGGGGCAAGCGUUAUUCGGAAUUAUUGGGCGUAAAGAGCUCGUAGGCGGUUUGUCGCGUCUGCUGUGAAAACCCGAAGCUCAACCUCGGGCCUGCAGUGGGUACGGGCAGACUAGAGUGCGGUAGGGGAGAUUGGAAUUCCUGGUGUAGCGGUGGAAUGCGCAGAUAUCAGGAGGAACACCAAUGGCGAAGGCAGAUCUCUGGGCCGUAACUGACGCUGAGGAGCGAAAGCAUGGGGAGCGAACAGG
rnacentral:rRNA from 1 species